GCAACGAGCGCAACCCCUAUCUCUAGUUGCCAGCGAUUCGGUCGGGGACUCUAGAGAUACUGCCCGGUUAACGGGAGGAAGGUGGGGAUGACGUCAAGUCCUCAUGGCCCUUAUGCCCAGGGCUACACACGUGCUACAAUGGGCGGUACAAAGGGUAGCGAUGCCGCGAGGUGAAGCCAAUCCCAAAAAGCCGUCCACAGUUCGGAUUGGAGUCUGCAACUCGACUCCAUGAAGCCGGAAUCGCUAGUAAUCGUGGAUCAGCAUGCCACGGUGAAUACGUUCCCGGGCCUU
rnacentral:rRNA from 1 species